rnacentral:rRNA from 1 species
AUUGAACGCUGGCGGCAUGCCUUACACAUGCAAGUCGAACGGCAGCACGGGCUUCGGUCUGGUGGCGAGUGGCGAACGGGUGAGUAAUGUAUCGGAACGUACCCUUCAGUGGGGGAUAACUAUCCGAAAGGAUAGCUAAUACCGCAUAUUCUCUGAGGAGGAAAGCGGGGGAUCGCAAGACCUCGCGCUGAUGGAGCGGCCGAUAUCAGAUUAGCUAGUUGGUGGGGUAAAGGCCUACCAAGGCGACGAUCUGUAGCGGGUCUGAGAGGAUGAUCCGCCACACUGGGACUGAGACACGGCCCAGACUCCUACGGGAGGCAGCAGUGGGGAAUUUUGGACAAUGGGGGCAACCCUGAUCCAGCCAUGCCGCGUGAGUGAAGAAGGCCUUCGGGUUGUAGAGCUCUUUCGGCCGGGAAGAAAUCGCGUGAGUUAAUACCUUGCGUGGAUGACGGUACCGGAAUAAGAAGCACCGGCUAACUACGUGCCAGCCGCCGCCGUAAGAC